rnacentral:misc_RNA from 1 species
GUACCCUCAAGCUUUGCUUGGUGUUGGGCGUUUUUGUCUUUGGCCCGCCAAAGACUCGCCUUAAAAUGAUUGGCAGCCGGCCUACUGGUUUCGCAGCGCAGCACAUUUUUGCGCUUGCAAUCAGCAAAAGAGGACGGCAAUCCAUCAAGACUCCUUCUCAC